AAAGAGUUGUACGGAAGCGUAUUAGCGCCACACAUUUUUUUUUUUAUUUUUCUUCCUAUGUUUGCGUUUUAACGCAAAGGUUUGCGUUACAACGCCGCAAACAUAGGAAGAAAAAUUAAAAAAAAUAAAAUGUGUGGCGCUAAUACGCUUCCGUACAACUCUUC
rnacentral:sRNA from 1 species